rnacentral:rRNA from 1 species
GUUUCCAGUCAUACCAUCCUGAACCCAGUCUCAUCUGAACUCAGAAGCUAAGUAAGGUUAGGGUGUGGUUAGCACUUAGAUGGGAAAAAUAAUGACCAUUUAUGGCAGGGAGAA